CCAGGCCCAGCCCCCCGGCAGGGCUCACCUGCCUCAGGCCCAGGCUUCUUCCACAUGUUUUGUGAUCUUAUUCUUAAGCUCUUUUGCAAGGUAGCAUAAAUGGCCCCAGGAACUACAGACUUACAUUUUCUUUAGAACUUCCUGUCUCAACCCAAGGUCCAUUGUCAGAUAAAUAGACCGUCGUGUGGUCUACACUCCGGAUGAACCAUCCCUCACCUGAGCAGGAGAGAAGCUCUGAUACUCAGUACAAGGUGGAUGAAGCCUGAAGACAUUAUGCUAAUGGAUCCACAUUAUUGACUGCACUUACAUGAGCCAUUUAGAAUAGGCAAGAUUAGAGCCAUAGAAAAUAGAUUCAAGGUUAUGGGAAGAGUGUUGGGGCAGGGGCGAGUGGAAAGUGAAAGUUUAGUUCUGUGUUUGGGACCAUGAAAGAGUUUAAGUGGUGAUGUCUCCAUGAUGUUGUCAAUAUAGUUAAUGUCACUUAAUCACAUGUUUUAAAAAAGGCUACAGUUGCCAGGUGCAGUGGUGCACACAUGUGAUCUGAGCUACUCAGGAGGCUGAGGUGGGAGGAUCAUGAGUUAGAGGCCAGUCUGGCCAAUUUAGUGAGACCCUAUGUCAAAAUGGAAAAAAAAAAGAAGGGCUGGGGUAUAGCUGUGUGGCAGAUGCCCCAGAUUCAAUCCCUUGAGGGUAGAAGUCACAUAUUUGUGUUAUACAUAUUCUAAAAAAGGGAAAGAAAGAAACUUUCUUUCUCAAAAGGACACUUGCUGGUAGCUCGAGAAAAUUCUGGAAAAGAUUCCAGCCAGUUAGGUCUCAUUCUUCUCAUGGGAAAAAAAUGUGAUCUAAAAAAGAAGUCCUCUGCUCAGAUCUAAGUCCUGUGUCCCAUCAUGAUGGGGGACACAGAGGGAGGCUGUGUUACUUCCACUGAGGGACUUGGACGCAGUGCUUGAUGGCUCUGGUGGGGACAGAUGGACAUAUUCCACAGAGUGGACGCUGUAUUCCAUGGGGCUGGAUCCAACCCCUGGAUCCAGCGUGAACGUAUGUCCCUGGUGGUUCAUUUGUUCUGGGUCUGUCUCCAUGGCCUAAGUCCUGACUUGAUGUUUGAGGUUAAGGUAAACCAGAGCUCAGAAAAACUGCUCUUUUUCUACCUCCUUUGGCCUGGCAGGACACUGGCAUCUCCCUCUGCUGGCCUGGACAGGGUGCUGGAAUCUCCCUCUGCUGGCCCGGGAUGGCGACUCUGCAGACCCCUGGCUGCUCCCGUAUCUCUGUCUAUCUCUGCUGCCUUCAAAGAGGCCUGUGAGCAGGGCUGUCUUGAAAUCAAGGAUUCCUAAUAAUAAAUCUGAAGUAGUCGAGCAAGUACUUUUUUUUUUUUUUAAAUCUGUCUUUGCGAACUAAAACUAAGGCUAAAUUCAUUCUUCCUGUGGCUGGGUUGCUGAAAAUUUCCUGUCCUACCAGAGAGACGGUAGGUAGACUCUUAAGGACACUAGGAAGCUCAGAAAACGAAACGUCCUCACAUCCCGGGAGAAGGAGUGUGGGGCGAGGUGCAGAGGAACUAAGUAUGAUCUGGGCCAUGACAGCCUCACCUCCCUCCGUGGCCCAUCCUCACAGGGCCCACUGGACAAUGGGUUGCCCUGCCUGGCACGAAGCCCGCCCCAGCGGAGACCAGAGAAGCUGUAAGUGUGUUUGAGGCCACCCCCCAGAGGCCGGCACCCCCCAGAGGCCGCUGUCCCCCAGAGGCCACUGCCCUCCAGAGGCCGGUGUGGCAGCAGAAAGUAGGAGAAAGA
rnacentral:lncRNA from 1 species